UCUCCAGAAUGUUCCAUUUAUAAACAUACAUGUUGUUGAUUGCCCAACCAAGCCCCAAAAACACAAGCACUGCUGUCAGCUUCCUUUAGCACACAUAAUUCCACUCAGCGGUUAAGAACCAUCCCUGCUGCGCUGGCCAGGGGUGUGAGAGAGAUGAAGAGGAGCAGGGAGAAGAAAUAGAGUGGAAAAUGGGCAACAGAGAGCACUGCUUGGAGACCUCGACAGAAUCCACACGAUUCCCAGCGCAUGAGACGGUGUGGAAGGGGAAGCUAAUCCUCACCCUCUCAUCUCCCCGAAGACCUCGGUAGAUCCACUUCCAGAUGUUUCCUGUAUUGUCACUCACUUCUGCUUAUACGAGGGCCAAAAGGCUUUAACGUGAAGUUUACAUUGUCUGAAAUGUCUUCUCGUUGGCUUUUGAAGCUCAUCACUGUGGAAAACAUCAUAAUUAGGAUCUUUUCACCCAUUAGUAGCAUUGGUUUACAUUGUACAACAACCCAUUACGCUCUGUUUGACUAAUAAAAGCCGAAGCUUUCUUGGCUUUGGACCGGGUCUUGCAUCUGUCUCCUCUUCACGAGAUGUGGAAGAACGCAUUCUUUCGUGUGUGACCGAACAGUUCUCGCAAUCAGAGGCAGGCGUUCAAAAAACAAAGCAAUGAAAUUUGUCAUCUUUUUAAAAGGCUGCUUUCAUAAGGAGCUCAAGGCCAAAUCCUCUCUUGAAAGCAGGAAAAUCUUGAUUCCAAAUUAGUUUAACAAGCCUUUUCCUGUUUUAUCAGAGCUUGUUCGCUUUAAACACAUGCUAUUGUAAUCAUUCUAUUUUUAAGGGUGGUUUGAGGGGCAGGCCAGUACUGGUGGGCGAAAGUCCUAUCACACUUUGUUAGAUAGCAUGUAUCAGAUUUCAUAAACAAGCGAGGAACAUUUUUAUCAAUCAUUCAAUUAAAGCGGGAGAGCGGCACGCUCGUAUUCACUUGAAAGAUUCUUUGUGUUGGAGGCCAAGACAUUUGCAGGGCGCCAUGCUUGAUAGUAUUUCAUCUGUAAUGACUACAUCUUUUACACAAAUGACUCGGAAAAUAAAGCUACAAAUCUCUCUUCCUGUCCUCGGAAUGUUUGUCCCACUUUGUCCCGGAUGACUAAACACAUCUAUGGUGAGAUAAACAGCGUGAUGCAUAAGAAAAGAUCAAUAUUAUUUC